UACGGAGGGUGCAAGCGUUAAUCGGAAUUACUGGGCGUAAAGCGCACGCAGGUGGCUGAGUCAGUCGAUUGUGAAAGCCCUGGGCUUAACCUGGGAAUUGCAGUCGAUACUACUCAGCUAGAGUAUGGGAGAGGGCAGUGGAAUUCCCGUGGUAGCGGUGAAAUGCGUAGAGUAUCGGGAGGAACAUUAGUGGCGAAGGGCGGCUGCCUGGCCCAAUACUGACACUCAGGUGCGACAGCGUGGGGAGCAAACAGG
rnacentral:rRNA from 1 species